UACGUAGGGUGCAAGCGUUAAUCGGAAUUACUGGGCGUAAAGCGUGCGCAGGCGGUUAUGUAAGACAGGUGUGAAAUCCCCGGGCUUAACCUGGGAACUGCAUUUGUGACUGCAUAGCUAGAGUACGGUAGAGGGGGAUGGAAUUCCGCGUGUAGCAGUGAAAUGCGUAGAUAUGCGGAGGAACACCGAUGGCGAAGGCAAUCCCCUGGGCCUGUACUGACGCUCAUGCACGGAAAGCGUGGGGAGCAAACAGG
rnacentral:rRNA from 1 species